CCCUCUCCCUCUCCCUCGGUGUGGACGCGCACACCUAAACCGAAUCAGGCGAGCGCAAGCUACUGGAUCACUGAACCAUCGUCCCGGUGGCCACCGCGUCAGUUCCACACCAGUACAGCGACGCCAACCACCGCCACUCCAUUGGCUUGGAUUUGGCUGUGGCGUGGGCUGGAACCGUAUGGUGUUGUCUGGUGCGUGUUCUGCACUGGGAGGUUUGGUCGGCUGACGCCAGGUAUGAGCAGUUCCUGAGCCUGAUCGCUGGAUAUGGGCACGCAUGCAUGUAUAUAAUGGGUAUCAUGGUCAUGUUGCUUGGACGGGGGGCGAUGAUGAUGAUUGUGGCUGAAAUAAUCAUGUCUUGAGCAAUCAAGACAGCCGUGGUGGUGGGUACUAAGAGCAACGGAAGUAAAAGGUCCAGAACUGAUAAACAUAUAUGUUGGAGAAUCGGAGAAGAAUAUCAGGGACAUCUUUCAGAUGUUUCAGGCUUGAUCAGCAUGCCCAUGAGUAAUUUUCUUCGAUGAGCUUGAUUCCCUUGCUCCUGCACGAGGGUCGUCUGCAGCUUCUGGAGAUGUGAUGGAUAUGGUGGUUUCUCAGCACAAAUGCCUGACGGGGAUGCAUAUAUAUGUUUGGCAUUCUAUCAGUAACAUACACUUGUGCUAGCUUGCAGUACUACAUUUUGUGGUGCGUAUGUAUGGCUAUGCUUUUGAUUAUUUCCCCUGUACAUUUACUUGAUAAAGUAUAGAGCCUGAUGAGCAACCAUGCUGUAACAGAAGAAUUUAUAUCCAAAUGGGAAUUUUCAAUAAAAUAUACCAUCUCGAUGCUCAUGGUUUCUUCAGCAUAUAUAGUCUCUACUAUGUAUUCUCUGGGCAACCAAGUUAAUUGUGCAAGAGCCAUUAAAUAUAUAUUUAUACUUGCAUAUAAAUAAUUCCUUUUACUGUUGCUUGGUGAUUGUGUCUCUCGUAGCCAAUUCCUAGAAGACUUGAACGUAUGGUAACAUUGAAUGAAUAAUCCAAGUUCCUUUUACUAUUCUGGCUACAGCAGACUAUCCUGCCUUUUAGUAAUUAUAGAAUUACUAAGUCCAUGUUGACUAGGAACAAGUUCCGGAUGCUUGCAAAUUGUUAGAAUUUCAACGCUCUUCAUUUUGUCUAGCAUUUGCUGUGUCCUCUAGCUUUUAUAUAGCUUUCUGGCUAUAAACUACAUGCACUUUGCAGUAAAUUAUUUCUUUAGAUUAGUCUAUCAAUGUUGUAUAUACAUUGUUGGCAUAAAUUGAUGCCCAGUCUUGUGCCUAACUUCCGGCAGAAAGACUGGUCCUAAAUCCGAAAUUCAUUGAUGGACUUAGAGCAAUCCGUUGCGACACAAUCUUGAAUGAAGUUAUUUUUUGUUCAAAUUAUGAUUUUUGACAGCAGUAUAUAAAUUAUAAAUAGCUAAUAUGACCUAUUCAUGGUUGGGUAGGUUUCUAUCAGUCAUUAUUUGUCUUCUUUACCGUAAAUUUUUUUUCUCUUCUCUGUUAUGUUGAGGUAAAUGCAGCUGCUGGUCAUACUUUAUCAAUAUAGGCAGAUGAAGCAAAUUAUGAAGAAAAUGAACCUGAAGAUGGUUUCUUAGUAUGAGAAUCUGAUUAACAUUCUCUCCAAGAAUGAAGGCAAAUUAUUUGUAUGUCAUUAACCCUUUCAUGUGAAGAUUUUCAGAAUCAUAAAAGAUAAUAUUCAGGUGCAUGUACGUCUGCUCAAACGCAAUCACAUUCCGAAAUAGCGACUCGCUGGAGUCAUUGAGCUCCAGCUGUGGGAUCUCCAACACGCCAUAGGCGAAGUUCAAGUCUAGGGAGCUCAUCGCCAUCUCUAAAAUUCCAAUGACCCGUGUUCCAGCUAUUUUUUUAGGUACAGGCGGACAGGCUUCAUGUUCAGGAAUUUGACACACGCGGUGGAGACUUAAUGGAGAGAAUCCAUGACUAAUUGCUUUUUCUUAGGGAACAUCGUGAUUAAUUACCGACUGCAUUCUAUUAGUCAUACAUAGUGCCACGCUGAGAAAUUUCUAUUUGGAGGAAGAAGGAGGCACAAGUAGACUGCAAAACACAAAACAACGGGAGAUGUCAUGCUUAGCAGCGACAACACCAUUGCUCUUCAUGUUUUUAGUUCGAUCUAUAAUUCUAUAUUAAUUUAGAAUGAUUAUUCAAAGGUUGGUGGUUGUUA